UGGCGGCGUGGAUAAGACAUGCAAGUCGAACGGAAAUUUAUUUAUAGCAAUAUAAAUAAAAAUUAGUGGCGCAAGGGUGCGUAACACGUGGGCAACCUGCCCUAAAGCGCGGAAUAGCUCGGCGAAAGUCGAAUUAAUACCGCAUGUAGCCAUUGAGCUAAUGCUCAAAAAGCUAAAAACGGCGCAAGCUGUUGCUUUUGGAUGGGCCCGCGGCCUAUCAGCUAGUUGGUGAGGUAAUGGCUCACCAAGGCUAUGACGGGUAGCUGGUCUGAGAGGACGACCAGCCACACUGGAACUGAGACACGGUCCAGACACCUACGGGUGGCAGCAGUCGAGAAUUUUUCUCAAUGGGCGAAAGCCUGAAGGAGCGACGCCGCGUGAAGGAUGAAGGUCUUCGGAUUGUAAACUUCUGUCAUUAAGGAACAAACCUUCCGUAUAACUAGCGGAAGACUGAUAGUACUUGAAGAGGAAGGGACGGCUAACUCUGUGCCAGCAGCCGCGGUAAUACAGAGGUCUCAACCGUUGUUCGGAUUUAUUGGGCGUAAAGGGUGCGUAGGUGGUCGUGUAAGUCGGGUGUGAAAUCCUAGGGCUCAACCCUGGAACUGCACUCGAUACUGCAUGGCUUGAGCGCUGGAAAGGGGACUGGAAUUUACGGUGUAGCAGUGAAAUGCGUAGAUAUCGUAAGGAAGACCAGUGGCGAAAGCGAGUCUCUGGACAGAUGCUGACACUGAGGCACGAAGGCCAGGGGAGCAAACGGGAUUAGAUACCCCGGUAGUCCUGGCAGUAAACGGUGCACGUUUGGUGUAGGCGGAUUCGACCCCGUCUGCGCCGUANCUAACGCGUUAAACGUGCCGCCUGGGAAGUACGGUCGCAAGAUUAAAACUCAAAGAAAUUGACGGGGGCCCGCACAAGCGGNGG
rnacentral:rRNA from 1 species